rnacentral:rRNA from 1 species
UUUUAUAUAUGUGGUUUUUCCCCCGUCAGGAUGAACGCUGGCGGCGUGCCUAAUACAUGCAAGUCGAGCGAACAGACGAGGAGCUUGCUCCUCUGACGUUAGCGGCGGACGGGUGAGUAACACGUGGAUAACCUACCUAUAAGACUGGGAUAACUUCGGGAAACCGGAGCUAAUACCGGAUAAUAUAUUGAACCGCAUGGUUCAAUAGUGAAAGACGGUUUUGCUGUCACUUAUAGAUGGAUCCGCGCCGCAUUAGCUAGUUGGUAAGGUAACGGCUUACCAAGGCAACGAUGCGUAGCCGACCUGAGAGGGUGAUCGGCCACACUGGAACUGAGACACGGUCCAGACUCCUACGGGAGGCAGCAGUAGGGAAUCUUCCGCAAUGGGCGAAAGCCUGACGGAGCAACGCCGCGUGAGUGAUGAAGGUCUUCGGAUCGUAAAACUCUGUUAUUAGGGAAGAACAAAUGUGUAAGUAACUAUGCACGUCUUGACGGUACCUAAUCAGAAAGCCACGGCUAACUACGUGCCAGCAGCCGCGGUAAUACGUAGGUGGCAAGCGUUAUCCGGAAUUAUUGGGCGUAAAGCGCGCGUAGGCGGUUUUUUAAGUCUGAUGUGAAAGCCCACGGCUCAACCGUGGAGGGUCAUUGGAAACUGGAAAACUUGAGUGCAGAAGAGGAAAGUGGAAUUCCAUGUGUAGCGGUGAAAUGCGCAGAGAUAUGGAGGAACACCAGUGGCGAAGGCGACUUUCUGGUCUGUAACUGACGCUGAUGUGCGAAAGCGUGGGGAUCAAACAGGAUUAGAUACCCUGGUAGUCCACGCCGUAAACGAUGAGUGCUAAGUGUUAGGGGGGUUUCCGCCCCUUAGUGCUGCAGCUAACGCAUUAAGCACUCCGCCUGGGGGAGUACGACCGCAAGGUUGAAUA